GCUGGCGGCGUGCCUAACACAUGCAAGUCGUGCGAGAAAGUUUCCUUCGGGGAGCUAGUAAAGCGGCGCACGGGUGAGUAACACGUAGGUAAUCUACCUCUAAGUCCGGAAUAACCAGCUGAAAGGCUGGCUAAUGCCGGAUAAGACCACGGCCUCUGCGGGGGCCGCGGCCAAAGGUGGCCUCUUCAUGAAAGCUAUUGCUGAGAGAUGAGCCUGCGUACCAUUAGCUAGUUGGUGAGGUAACGGCUCACCAAGGCUGUGAUGGUUAGCUGGUCUGAGAGGAUGACCAGCCACACUGGGACUGAGACACGGCCCAGACUCCUACGGGAGGCAGCAGUGGGGAAUAUUGCGCAAUGGGGGAAACCCUGACGCAGCGACGCCGCGUGGGUGAUGAAGGCCUUCGGGUCGUAAAGCCCUGUCGUAGGGGAAGAACUGGUUGCAGGCUAAUAUCCUGCAGCCUUGACGGUACCCUACAAGAAAGCACCGGCUAACUCCGUGCCAGCAGCCGCGGUAA
rnacentral:rRNA from 1 species